rnacentral:rRNA from 1 species
AUUGAACGCUGGCGGCAUGCCUUACACAUGCCAGUCGAACGGCAGCACGGGUGCUUGCACCUGGUGGCGAGUGGCGAACGGGUGAGUAAUACAUCGGAACAUGUCCUGUAGUGGGGGAUAGCCCGGCGAAAGCCGGUUUAAUACCGCAUACGAUCCACGGAUGAAAGCGGGGGACCUUCGGGCCUCGCGCUAUAGGGUUGGCCGAUGGCUGAUUAGCUAGUUGGUGGGGUAAAGGCCUACCAAGGCGACGAUCAGUAGCUGGUCUGAGAGGACGACCAGCCACACUGGGACUGAGACACGGCCCAGACUCCUACGGGAGGCAGCAGUGGGGAAUUUUGGACAAUGGGCGAAAGCCUGAUCCAGCAAUGCCGCGUGUGUGAAGAAGGCCUUCGGGUUGUAAAGCACUUUUGUCCGGAAAGAAAUCCUUGACUCUAAUACAGUCGGGGGAUGACGGUACCGGAAGAAUAAGCACCGGCUAACUACGUG